UGUAUAAAAUGGAAUCCAAAAUUAGCAUGAAGAAGCUGAUUAAUAAAUGAGAUGAAUCUCCCAUCACAUCCGAGAAAUAGACACCUUGACCAUCAAGCUCCAGGGAAAGAUGUUGUUUGAAUUAUAUUUUCUCUACUGUGACUGGAGGGGACGCUGGUUAUUUUAGUAGAGAAUGGUUAUUCACACCAUACAAUAAUCCUAGAAAAAGAUGUGAGGUUAAAUUCAACGAGGCACACAGAUCAACCCGAGGAAUCAUUGAGAGAA